rnacentral:rRNA from 1 species
AGUGAACGCUGGCGGUAGGCCUAACACAUGCAAGUCGAACGGCAGCACAGUAAGAGCUUGCUCUUACGGGUGGCGAGUGGCGGAUGGGUGAGGAAUACAUCGGAAUCUACUUUUUCGUGGGGGAUAACGUAGGGAAACUUACGCUAAUACCGCAUACGACCUACGGGUGAAAGCAGGGGAUCCUCGGACCUUGCGCGACUGAAUGAGCCGAUGUCGGAUUAGCUAGUUGGGCGGGUAAAGGCCCACCAAGGCUACGAUCCGUAGCUGGUCUGAGAGGAUGAUCAGCCACACUGGAACUGAGACACGGUCCAGACUCCUACGGGAGGCAGCAGUGGGGAAUAUUGGACAAUGGGCGCAAGCCUGAUCCAGCCAUGCCGCGUGGGUGAAGAAGGCCUUCGGGUUGUAAAACCCUUUUGUUGGGAAAGAAAAGCAGCGGGUUAAUACCCCGCUGUUCUGACGGUACCCAAAGAAUAAGCACCGGCUAACUACGUG